CCCGGUAAAAGCAUCGACCGGCGCAGUCAGGCACUCCCCAACCCAAGACUCGGCACCGAGUCAUGCAAUCGGGUCCAAUGGACUCGGCGGAAUAGACGACCCAUAGAGCCCCCUUACCGCAGACGCCGCCGACGCUGGGGAUCGCCGCCUCGCCGUCUCGCCGCUACCUUCGCCCGCCCGACCUCAAGGACGACCUAGGUUAACUCGCCAAUGGCGAGUCCCUUCUCAAGUGCCUGUUGAAGCUCGCGGGACUAGGCCACGGAGACAGCGACGACAGAGGCGCACUCGUUCGCAGCCGGAACGGCCGCUUAAGUUUGACGUCGAGUCCGACACGUGUACCUCAUCCACCGACGUCGGGACUGGCCAGACCUCCGCUCGAGGCGGCCUCCUCCUUACGAAGUGACGUGUGACCUUCCACUUAGGCCUUCCGGGGCCGACCUACUUCUCCAGUGACAGGUCUAGUAGUACGAUGAGUUCGUCGUCUCGCAUUCCCGGUAUGAUGUGAACAGAGUUCGGUUUUUACGUUCCGUCGACCUGUACAAGUUCAAGAGACUAGUCGAGGAGUCUAGAGAAUCGGUGGCUACACAUACAAGAGGACGUGCGCCUAAAUGGCUGACGGGAGACUGUCCGUAUCCCUGAAGCUUGUGUCGGCUGGUAUUCUUAUGUGAACGUACGUUCUAAGCUCCGGUCUAUGAACUAAACAGGUUGACGUUCGCUAGUCCAUUGAGAGAGCUGCAGGAACCACUUAGGAGAGUGUUCACGCUUGUGUCCUAACUAGUUAGGAGCAGGGUUGUACUUCCGAUGAGGUAGGAGUAGAUGAGGGGACGACUUGAAGACGUUCAGCUGCGAAUCCCGGUAACGUCUCUACAUACGAUUAGAGGGACGGCUGUCGGUGUAGUGACACUAUAUAAGGUCGUACCGAAGCGGUCGUUAGGUACACGACCCCACACCAUGGCAUAGGAGGCGUAGGCCGAUGGCGGCUCGUCUAGCUCCACAUGAAUAUUGUUCGUAGACUCGUCGUUGACAGGUCCAAAAGUAACAAAAGAAUCGUAAAAGUAACGUAGAGUACAAUCCGAAGAAAAACUCGGUGACACGGUAUUGUCGUGGUAAGGUUUGUCGGUCCGUGAAGUAAUAAGUAUUAAGUGGUUACAAAUAACCGUAGUGACCGUACCGGGACGCGGUCAUCGAGUAACCCUGUGCAUAGAAUCUAUGCAUAGAAUCUAGCGACCAGAGUUAAGAGUAUUCCUCUAAACGAACCCGGCUGGAACUUCAAUUGGUUCCCACAAACAUGGUAUCAACCUCCGUGUAAUACCUCCGUCUGAAGUCAUUGGUAGUGUAGUGUGGAAAAAGUCGGCUUGCACAACAAGGAAUAAUGGUAGAGGCGAGGGCGGAAUUUGACUCUAAAGAACAAAUUACUGUGAGGUCUAAGAACAGGACCGCCUGGUACUGAUGAACUGGUCGUACAGGUAGGUCUUAGUCGAACAGCAUGUCCCCAUAUGGCAUACUGUAAUGAAGGAGAGUCUUCAAGAAGGAAGGGCCAGCAAGGUGACCUCCUUUUAACCGAAGACGAUUUCAUCCUUUACUACAGGUUUUUUGACGUACAUGAACUGGGUGACAGUCCUGCGUCUCCUGGAUCGUACGUUUGGUUCCUAUUCGCGCUUGAAUAGCGGACCUUCGAAGUGGUGCGACAGAACGUGACGGAGUUACUCAUGAUGCGACCUACCGUUGUGUCCUACCUCUAACCAGAUGGUAGAUGUAUCCUCCUAUGGCCCCGAACGUAGAACGUGUAACGUGUAACGCUCCGUAAUCCUGCCGUAUUUCGAGUUCUAGGGUGACUUUUUCAAAUGUCCCCUUGUGGAGGUGCGACCGCGUGCUCCGUGAGACCUGCCAUGAUCGUGGAUGGCUAAGAACGAAGUCUAGCUUGUAGAGUCGAAUCUGUGGUCGAGUACCGGACGAAUUUGUGCGGGGAUUAGACGCGGCGUCCCUCUAAGGGGGAAUAGUGACGGGGGUACCUCUAAGAUGGAAUCGUGACGAUGCUAGAAGAAAAGUUUUUCGUAAAUACACUUCUACAACACAAUAUCUGCGUUUUGGAUGGGAGGAAAACGGUACAGGCAUGGAAGCUUAGUAGAAGCGUAAAAAGUACACACGAAAUAUUUCUAAACUCAUGAGAAAAGCAUGAAGGUAAACAAGUAUUGGGACGAGUAAAUAUGUUAUCGAAAGUCACUACGAGAGAAAA
rnacentral:rRNA from 1 species